GAUGAGCAUGCGUCCCAUUAGCUAGAUGGUAAGGUAACGGCUUACCAUGGCAACGAUGGGUAGGGGUCCUGAGAGGGAGAUCCCCCACACUGGUACUGAGACACGGACCAGACUCCUACGGGAGGCAGCAGUGAGGAAUAUUGGUCAAUGGGCGCAAGCCUGAACCAGCCAUGCCGCGUGCAGGAUGAAGCAUCUAUGGUGUGUAAACUGCUUUUGUACGAGAAGAAACACUCCUACGUGUAGGAGCUUGACGGUAUCGUAAGAAUAAGGACCGGCUAACUCCGUGCCAGCAGCCGCGGUAAUACGGAGGGUCCAAGCGUUAUCCGGAAUCAUUGGGUUUAAAGGGUCCGUAGGCGGUUUUGUAAGUCAGUGGUGAAAGCCCAUCGCUCAACGGUGGAACGGCCAUUGAUACUGCAAGACUUGAAUUAUUGGGAAGUAACUAGAAUAUGUAGUGUAGCGGUGAAAUGCUUAGAGAUUACAUGGAAUACCAAUUGCGAAGGCAGGUUACUACCAAUAUAUUGACGCUGAUGGACGAAAGCGUGGGGAGCGAAC
rnacentral:rRNA from 1 species